UCUCAUUCUCUUUCUUCUUCUUCAUUCUUCAUUCUUUCUUCUUCUUCCUUCUUCUUCUCUCUUUUCUUCUGUUAGUGAACCCGAUAGAUGAUUUGAGAAAUUCACUGAGAAAAUCAGUUGAUAAGAAGGAUUAGAAUAAGUAUAAGAUGUUACUGGUGUUGGUGAGGAGGUGGUGUUGAUGUUUAUCGAGUUCGGGAAAAGAAGGAGAUGAUACUGUUAAUCAGAAAUUAGGGUUUAUAGAUUUGUUUGAUGUUUUGAGGAAUAAGAAGAUGAUAUAUAGAGCUACUAUUGGAUAAUGAAGCAUGGGUAGAUGUUCACUUGAAAUUCUGAAAUCGUUUUGAAGAUGAAUCAGAGAACCAAGUUAGGGUUUCUCAGAGAAUUCAAAUUAAUGAUGUAUAAGAGGAAUUAAAGAUUGGGUUUGGCUAAUUGAAGAAAAGUUGGUGUUUAAAUGAUGAAGAGAAGUUGUUCUGAAGUUGUACUGAAAGGAAAAGAAUCAGGGAUUAUGUUCUGUUUUUUUUCCCGAAAUAGAAAUUAGGGUUCUUGGAAGAAAUUGAACCGAACUGGUGGGUGGUUGUUGUCUUAAGAUGAAUUGGGGUUUCGAAUUAGUAAUGAUUAAAAUGAAAUUGAAUAUGAGUUCGUUCUUAAUAGGGUUGAUCUGAAGUUGAUUUGAGGAUCGAAUUGAGAAGUUAGGAUUCAUAAGAACAACUCAGGGAAGCAGUAGGUGAUGAAAUUGGUGAUUAAGCAAGGGGAUUUGAGACGGGUUUGAUAUGUAUUAAGGAUUUAGAGUGGUAUUACAAAUGAAGCUAAGCUUUAGAGGCUGAAACCGAUGAAGGUGAUUGAGUUUAGGGUUCUUGAUGGAACAGAGUUUUGGGGUUCAUGGGUUUGAGAUGCAGAUGAGGGGAUUCCGAUCCAGCGAUUGCUGUUACUGGGGUAAGCUUUUAAUUGUUCUAAUCUUGAUAUUUGAAGGAUGAAUCAGUGAAUUGUUAAGUUUAUAUAAUUGUUUUUGAAACUGUGUUAUGAGAUGGAUAUGGAGUAGAAUUGUUGAUAUGAAGUAGGUUGUGUUGAAUUACUAUGAACUAGAAUGAAUAGAGAAAGUGCAAGGAUGUGGAGUUGGAGAUGUUGUUGGUGCUGAGUUGGUGGAAGCGAUGUUAUCAAUGGUAGUGAUGAAUUUUGUUAUGAGUUAAGGAUGCAGGUGGUAGUAGUGGUGAUAAGCUUUAUAUGUGUUGUUGAAGUGUUUGAAUUGGAUUUCUUGUGGCGUUGGUGUUAAUGAGUUUAUGUUGGCUGAAGGCUGGGUUUGUGGUGAACUGAGGUAAUGGGUGUGCUGGUGUUCUUGAAAUGGAUGAAUCAAUUCAGAGGUAAUUGUUGUUAUUUAAUUUCUUAGAUUGAGUUUAUGUGAUUUUGAAUGGAAUUGAAGUGAUAAUGAUAAUUAUAGAAUUGUUGAGUAUAUAUUGUUAAUAAAGCUAAUACCUGAGGAGAAUAUGGAUUAGAACGGGUUUCUUAUGGAAGUUCAGGCUGUGUGAAAUUACAUGGAGAGGGAGAAAUAAGGUGAUAUUGGGUUCUGGUUGGUUGAAGUUGUGGGAUUGUUAAUAGACUCAUAGUUGAGUUAGAUGGAUACAUUAAGAUAUCUAUACGUAAGAUAUCUAUGGAAUGAAUGAUUUAUUGUAGACUAGUGGGUUUUCGUAACCAGGGAUGGUGAUGUUCUGUGUAUGUGAAGUUGCAGGUGUUAUGAGGUGAAUUGGUAGUGGACCAUGAUAUCUGCAGAUAGAGAUGUAAUAGGUGGAGGUACAGGGAAUGAUGUUGGGAGUAAUGGGAUGCUUGCACUGGUAGUGGUGAUGUUAUGGAAUCUGGUGGUGUUAUUGGUGCAGAUGAAUGAGUUGUAGAUGGAAUUGAGUCACUGUCGAUGGGUUGAGAUGAUGGUUGUCUGUGUGUUGAGAUGGCAGAUAUUGUGCUGUGAAUGCUGAAAUGGGUGUUGGUAUGAGUAGUGUAGGAUUAUAGUUGUGAGUUCAGUAAAAGCUUAAAGCUGCAACUGCAGUGGAUCGUGGAUCUCGAGGUAGGCGUGGCUCGUCAUCAAAAGAGGUGGGGAUACAUUUGACUCUUUUGUAACCAUUGUUUCUUUUACAAAAGUUUAUAUUUAAAAAACCAUGCAUUGUCUGUCUAUGCAUUUCAUGCUUUAUUUAAAUUGCAUUAUGAUAAUUCUGUUGAUUCUUUGAAUCUUUCCAUGAAAUGGAAAGGACUUGUACGGUAUGUCAUUAUGAAUUGUUAUGGGAAAUGAGAAUUUCCACUUGUGGUA